rnacentral:rRNA from 1 species
GAUGAACGCUGGCGGCGUGCCUAAUACAUGCAAGUCGAGCGGACGGGCGAGAAUCUUGCUUCUCGGAUGUUAGCGGCGGGCGGGUGAAUAACACGUGUAUAACCUCCUUAUAAUACGGGUAUAACCUGGGGAAACCGGAGCUUAUACCGGAGAAUCUUUUGAACCGCAUGGUUGAAUAGAGAAAUACGGUGGUGCGGGCACGUAUAGAUGGAUCCCCGCUGCAUUGGCUAGUUGGUAAGGUAACGGCCUAUCAAGGCAACGAUGCAUAGCCGACGGGAGAGGGGGAUCGGCGACACUGGAACUGGGCCACGGACAAGGCUCCUACGAGAGGCAGCAGUAGGGAAUGGUACGCAGUGGGCGAAAGCAUUACGGAGCAACGCCGAGUGAGUGAUGAAGAUGUUCGGAUCGUAAUACUCGGUUACUAGGGAAGAACCUCUGUGGAAGUAAAUGUAGAGAGCGUGACGGUAAUUAGUAAGAAAGCAACGGCUAACUACGUG